rnacentral:lncRNA from 1 species
GUGAGGUUUGCCGGUGCUGACUUUGUCUUCUACAACUGCAGCGUCCUCCAGUCGUGCAUGUCCUGUGUUGGCAGCCCUUACCCCUGCCACUGGUGUAAGUACCGCCACACGUGUACCAGCCGCCCCCACGAGUGCUCCUUCCAGGAGGGCAGGGUCCACAGCCCUGAGGUGAGGCGGGCGCCGCAUGUGAGGGGCUGGGCUCUGUGGUGCGGGCGGGGCCACCGGCUUCUAUGCGUUCUCGGUUUCUUUGAGCCUUCUCCAGGUUGGGCCUGGAGAAGGG